rnacentral:rRNA from 1 species
CAGAGCCGCGGUAAUACAGAGGGUGCGAGCGUUAAUCGGAUUUACUGGGCGUAAAGCGUGCGUAGGCGGCUUUUUAAGUCGGAUGUGAAAUCCCUGAGCUUAACUUAGGAAUUGCAUUCGAUACUGGGAAGCUAGAGUAUGGGAGAGGAUGGUAGAAUUCCAGGUGUAGCGGUGAAAUGCGUAGAGAUCUGGAGGAAUACCGAUGGCGAAGGCAGCCAUCUGGCCUAAUACUGACGCUGAGGUACGAAAGCAUGGGGAGCAAACAGGAUUAGAUACCCCCGUAGUCCCUGUCUCUUAUACA